AUACGUAGGGGGCGAGCGUUGUCCGGAAUGAUUGGGCGUAAAGGGCGCGUAGGCGGCCCGGUAAGUCUGGAGUGAAAGUCCUGUUUUUAAGAUGGGAAUUGCUUUGGAUACUGUCGGGCUUGAGUGCUGGAGAGGUAAGUGGAAUUCCCAGUGUAGAGGUGAAAUGCGUAGAGAUUGGGAGGAACACCCGUGGCGAAGGCGGCUUACUAGACUGAAACUGAAGCUGAGGAGCGAAAGUGUGGGGAGCAAACAAGAUUAGAUACCCUGGUAGUCCACUCUGUAAUCGAUGAAUGCUAGAUGUAGGGGGUAUAGACCCGUCCUGUGCCGUAGUCCACACAAUACGCAUAACGUCUGGAAAGUACGGACGCAAGGUUAAAUCUCAAAUGAAUUGACGGGC
rnacentral:rRNA from 1 species